CAUCAGCAAUGUUUUAUGGGUGGUUGGUUGCUGAUUUUGAUUUAUUUUUUUCUGCAGAAUUUAAAGCACAAUCCAAAUGGGAGGUUUGUUGUUGUAUGUGGAGAUGGUGAGUAUAUUAUAUACACUGCAUUGGCUUGGAGAAAUAGGUCAUUUGGUUCAGCACUGGAAUUUGUUUGGUCUUUUGAGGGAGAAUAUGCUGUCAGAGAGAGUACAUCAAAGAUUAAAAUCUUUAGCAAAAAUUUCCAGGAAAAGAGGAGUGUCCGGCCAACAUUUUCAGCUGAAAGAAUAUUUGGUGGCGCUUUAUUGGCAAUGUGCUCCAAUGACUUCAUCUGCUUUUAUGAUUGGGCUGAAUGCAGGUUGAUAUAUCGCAUUGAUGUCAAUGUGAAAAACCUCUACUGGGCUGACAGUGGUGAUCUAGUGACGAUUGCUAGUGAUACAUCAUUCUACAUUCUGAAGUACAAUCGUGAUGUUGUUAUGUCACAUUUAGACAGUGGAAAACCGGUAGACGAGGAAGGUGUUGAAGAUGCUUUUGAACUCUUACAUGAAAUGAAUGAGCGUGUUAGGACAGGCAUCUGGGUUGGGGAUUGCUUUAUCUACAACAACUCCUCUUGGAGACUUAACUACUGCGUUGGUGGUGAGGUUACUACAAUGUUUCAUUUGGAUCGCCCUAUGUACUUGUUGGGAUAUCUUGCAAAUCAAAGUCGUGUUUAUUUGAUUGACAAAGAGUUUAAUGUUAUGGGAUACACACUGCUUUUAAGCUUGAUUGAGUACAAGACACUUGUGAUGCGUGGUGAUUUGGAAAGGGCCAAUGAAAUUCUACCAUCAAUCCCUAAAGAGCAUCAUAACAGUGUGGCUCACUUUCUGGAAUCACGAGGGAUGAUAGAAGAUGCUCUUGAAGUAGCCACUGACCCUGACUACAGAUUUGAUCUAGCGAUACGUCUUGGAAAACUAGACGCUGCAAAGAGUAUUGCAAUAGAAUUGCAGAGCGAGUCUAAAUGGAAACAGUUGGGAGAAUUAGCUAUGUCUACUGGAAAGUUAGAAAUGGCUGAGGAAUGUUUGCAACAUGCAAUGGAUUUGAGUGGUUUGUUACUCCUAUAUUCUUCUCUAGGAGAUGCUGAAGGAAUAUCGAAACUUGCAUCCCUUGCUAAGGAACAAGGGAAAAACAAUGUUGCAUUCCUAUGCUUAUUUAUGUUGGGUAAAUUAGAAGACUGCCUUCAACUAUUGGUAGAAAGCAAUCGAAUUCCAGAGGCAGCUUUAAUGGCUAGAUCUUAUCUUCCGAGCAAGGCGUCAGAGAUAGUGGCAAUUUGGAGAAAAGAUCUCAAUAAGGUUAAUCCAAAGGCUGCUGAAUCAUUGGCUGAUCCUGAAGAAUAUCCAAAUUUGUUUGAAGACUGGCAAGUUGCACUUGGUGUUGAAUCUAAAGCUGCGGAAACAAGGAAUGUGUACCCUCCUGCAGACCAGUACGUCAACCAUGCUGACAAAUCACACAUUACCCUUGUUGAAGCUUUCAGAAACAUGCAGAUUGAAGAAGAGGAACAUCUAGAGAAUGGGUUGACUGAAGAAAAUGGAGAAGAGCACUACACAGAGGAACAAAAUGGAGAGGAAGGAAGCCAAGAGGAGGCAGUUGUAGUGGAUGCAGAUUCUACAGAUGGUGCAGUACUCGUUAAUGGUAACGAGGCUGAAGAAGACUGGGGUACGAAUAAUGAAGGAGCCCCGUCAGCCUAAAAGCAAUUGGUUGGGGUGGUGUGAAAAUCGAAAUUUUGUCUCUGUGCUUGCCCCACAUCACUAGGUCUCAUCAAGACAGUCUGUUCCAGCUUCUGGGAUAUUUAUCUGAGGUCUCCUCAAGGUGACAUAAAGAGGUUUUCUGGUCUGGUAGUUUGUUUCCUGGUGUUGCGGUUUUGUAGUGCCCUGAAUUUUGUCAUUUUGCACGUGGUACAAACAAUAUUUCAUAGGGUCAGUUAGAAUUUGCUAGAUAUAUAGCACAUUCUUUGGAGGCUUUUACCUCAAUAUACUCAUAUCAUUGUGAAUGUAGAAAAAACGGAACUAGAGAUGAGUGACUGCUUAAAUUUUAGAUAGUUUUUAUUUUGAAAAAAAAAAUCAUGUCCGUGAUUAAACAUUUUAUUUUUUAUGGAUUGUAAACAUGCAUGGUUAAUAGAGAAAAUAAUGAUUCCCCCUAGUUCUUCAA